UGGCGAACGGGUGAGUAAUGCGUAAGAACCUGCCCUUGGGAGGGGAACAACAGCUGGAAACGGUUGCUAAUACCCCAUAGAAUUUAGUACCUCUACGAGGUAGGCUGAGGAGCAAAAGGGAGGAAUCCGCCCAAGGAGGGGCUCACGUCUGAUUAGCUAGUUGGUGAGGCCGUGGCUUACCAAGGCUCCGAUCAGUAGUUGGUCUGAGAGGAUGAUCAGCCACACUGGGACUGAGACACGGCCCAGACUCCUACGGGAGGCAGCAGUGAGGAAUUUUCCGCAAUGGGCGAAAGCCUGACGGAGCAAUGCCGCGUGAAGGAAGAAGGCUCACGGGUCGUAAACUUCUUUUCUCGGAGAAGAAUAAAUGACGGUAUCUGAGGAAUAAGCAUCGGCUAACUCUGUGCCAGCAGCCGCGGUAAAACAGAGGAUGCAAGCGUUAUCCGGAAUUAUUGGGCGUAAAGUGUCUGUAGGUGGCUUUUCAAGUCCGUCGUCAAAUCCCAGGGCUCAACCCUGGACAGGCGGUGGAAACUAUCAAGCUAGAGUACGGUAGAGGCAGAGGGAAUUUCCGGUGGAGCGGUGAGAUGCGUUGAGAUCGGGAGGAACACCAAGGGCGAAAGCACUCUGCUGGGCCG
rnacentral:rRNA from 1 species